GACGAACGCUGGCGGCGUGCUUAACACAUGCAAGUCGAACGGAAAGGCCCUGCUUUUGUGGGGUGCUCGAGUGGCGAAAGAGUGAGUAACACGUGAGAAACCUGCCCUUGACUUUGGGAUAACUUCAGGAAACUGGGGCUAAUAACGGAUAGGAGCUCCUGCUGCAUGGUGGGGGUUGGAAAGUUUCGGCGGUUGGGGAUGGACUCGCGGCUUAUCAGCUUGUUGGUGGGGUAGUGGCUUACCAAGGCUUUGACGGGUAGCCGGCCUGAGAGGGUGACCGGCCACAUUGGGACUGAGAUACGGCCCAGACUCCUACGGGAGGCAGCAGUGGGGAAUAUUGCACAAUGGGCGGAAGCCUGAUGCAGCAACGCCGCGUGCGGGAUGACGGCCUUCGGGUUGUAAACCGCUUUCGCCUGUGACGAAGCGUGAGUGACGGUAAUGGGUAAAGAAGCACCGGCUAACUACGUG
rnacentral:rRNA from 1 species